rnacentral:rRNA from 1 species
UUGAUAUUGCCUAUCCUACAUGGAUAACAGUGGUAAUUCUAGAGCUAAUACAUGCUGAAAAUCCCGACUUCGGAAGGGACGUAUUUAUUAGAAUCAGAACCAAUGCCCCUUCGGGGUUCCUUGGUGAYUCAUGAUAACUCCACAGAUCGCAUGGCCUUGCGCCGGCGAUGGCUCAUUCAAAUUUCUUCCCUAUCAACUUUCGACGGUACGGUAUUGGCCUACCGUGGUUGUAACGGGUGACGGAGGGUUAGGGCUCGACCCCGGAGAGGGAGCCUGAGAAACGGCUACCACAUCCAAGGAAGGCAGCAGGCGCGCAAAUUAUCCAAUCCCGACACGGGGAGAUAGUGACAAUAAAUACCGAUACAGGGCUCUUUUGGGCCCUGUAAUUGGAAUGAGUACAAUUUAAACCUCUUAACGAGGAACAAUUGGAGGGCAAGUCUGGUGCCAGCAGCCGCGGUAAUUCCAGCUCCAAUAGCGUAUAUUAAAGUUGUUGUGGUUAAAAAGCUCGUAGUCGAACCUCGAGCCUGGCCGACCGGUCCGCCUCACCGCGUGCACUGGCCUGGCCGGGCUCUUCCCUCUGCGGAACCGCAUGUCCUUCACUGGGCGUGUCGGGGAGGCAGGACUUUUACUUUGAAAAAAUUAGAGUGCUCAAGGCAGGCCAAUGCUCGAAUACAUUAGCAUGGAAUAAUAGAAUAAGGACGUUGGUUCUAUUUUGUUGGUUUCUAGGACCGCCGUAAUGAUCAAUAGGGACGGUCGGGGGCAUCAGUAUUCAGCCGUCAGAGGUGAAAUUCUUGGACCGGCUGAAGACUAACUACUGCGAAAGCAUUUGCCAAGGACGUUUUCGCUGAUCAGGAACGAAAGUUAGGGGAUCGAAGACGAUCAGAUACCGUCGUAGUCUUAACCAUAAACUAUGCCGACUAGGGAUCGGGCGGCGUUCUUUCUAGACCCGCUCGGCACCUUUCGAGAAAUCAAAGUGCUGGGUCAGGGGAGAGCC